rnacentral:tRNA from 1 species
GGCCCGUUAGCUCAGUUGGUUAGAGCGUUAUGCUAAUAACGCGAAGGUCGCGGGUUCGAUCCCCCCACGGGCCA